rnacentral:misc_RNA from 1 species
AAAAUGCGAUAAGUAAUGUGAAUUGCAGAAUUCAGUGAAUCAUCGAAUCUUUGAACGCACAUUGCGCCCGCCAGUAUUCUGGCGGGCAUGCCUGUUCGAGCGUCAUUUCAACCCUCAAACCUCACGGUUUGGUGUUGGGGAUCGGGUUGCUUAGGCAAUCCGCCCCCGAAAUCUAGUGGCGGUCUCUCUGCAGCCUCCAUUGCGUAGUAGCUAACACCUCGCAACUGGAAAGCGGAGCGGCCACGCCGUUAAACCCCCAACUUCUGAAUGUUGACCUCGGAUCAGGUAGGAAUACCCGCUGAACUUAA